AAAGACAGAUAUCAUUCUAUAACUUUUGCUGUUUAUUCUUGUAUGGAACACGUUAAGAUGCACAUUAAGAUGCCUUUUAGUCUUCACACACAAGCCCAGUAUGAGCUAAAAAAAGCUCGUAAUAAUUGCUGAGACCAUAGUAAACGAAUCAAAACCACAACAAAGAAGCAAAUUUUAUCUGAUUUCUAUACCCAUGCAUCUGAGUUCUCUAACAUUUUGGCUUCCUCCAAUAUACAAGCACUUCCUGCAAAGUUUUUGCAUACAUCUUAUUUCCAUAUAAUGUAUCCUAUCUCGGCAAAACUACAGUACAUAACUACUGAUAUAACUUAAGCCAUAUAGAACAGGAUAAGCAUCUCUAAACUCUAUAAUAUCAUAAGUUAUACGACUUGUCAAUAGAAGGAUCAAAUACUAAAAUUUAUCCUUCCAUAGAUGUUCCUAGUUUAACCUGAAUUAGAAACAGAUUGGUACUGCUCCUAAUGUAAACGAAAUAGCUAUAGAUCUUGUAAUUAAACAUGAACUCUUGGAGUGCCUCUCCUUCAUAUUCAUUGUGUCGAGAGGUACAAAGUAACACACGGAACAACAUCAAAUCGAGCAAGAUAGGUAUGAUCAGCUCUCUGAAAGCGGAAUCAUCUAUUGUUCUGUAAGAUAAUACUAUAUGCCACUGUUUCAAGCCUGCACGAUAAAACUGAAACUGAAAUUUAGAAUUUGCUUCCCAAUUGCAAAAGUAAAUGUACAACGCUCCAAGAAAAUAAUCAACGCUCCAAGAAAAUAAUGAGGCAAUAAACCAUUUGUAUUGUGGUACAUUUUGGUAAAGUUUGCACCUGGGAAUAAACUGCAAAUCAAGCAAUGUUGGAGAUAGCCUUCAUGUAUGCAAGCCAUUGUUCUCUUGCUGUCUAAAUGAUGAGGAGAAGCACCAAAUAUUAUGUCAAGGAAAUUCUAGUAAAAACCAAGCUACCUACUGCUACUUAACUUGUGGAAAUAAUAAAGCAAUACAUAAACAUGAUACACCUUCAAAUCAAGAUAGCUAAUGGUCUUCUGAAAAAUCAAGGUAGCUACAGCCAAGGAAUUGAAACCAGCAAUUGAAAAGGCAAGAAAGUCACAUGAGAUAGGUUACCUCAUUAGUCAUUACUCCUGUCAUAUACAUACGUGUAGGUUAACUCAGUUCAAUAACCAAGGAAAUUUCCUCAUUCAUUUUAUUUCAUAAUUAGCCCCCUGAAAUACUAAUCUCUUGAAGGUUAGUACUGUGGUACACUUCUACCAGAAAAAAUUGAAACUAAAGAAAGGAGUGUUGCCACUUUGUAACUAAUGAAACAAAUAGAUAACAACUUCAUAGCAGUACAAGUCUGUCACUGUUAUUUACAGUUAGAAGGUGGUAAAAAAUAAAAUACACAAGGUCGAUUCUUACAUCAAGAGGUGGAUCUAAAUCCUGCAGUUUGAGCCAAGGAAGUGGCAUCUUCCCUCAUCAGUGAUGCUUGGUUAAGGUCUGGAAGACAUGGAAAUUGAUGGCCUUUAGUAUAGCCGUUCCUGCUUCUUGAUAUGCAAGAACACGAGAUGGGGGCUGAGACUUGGGACAUGCACUGCGGCGGCUGCCACUGUGAAGUUAAUCGAAAGAGACCUCGCCAAAGAGACCGACGACUAUGCCAUUUUACAAAACACAACCUCAGACUUGACCGCCUCAAGCAUCAGCUCGCGGCGUCCGUGGAUCCAUCGACUCGCAUCCUCUGACUCGACCGCCUCAUGUAGCACGGCC
rnacentral:lncRNA from 1 species